rnacentral:misc_RNA from 1 species
AAAUGAAGAAAUGAUUGAUUGUGAAAAGUGGUAGUAUAGAAGGGGAAAUACAAAGAGGAGGAGGUAGAAAGAAAUAAGAAGAAAAGAAAGGGUGAAACGGAGAAGAGAGAGCUGGUUUGAAAGGAAAUGAAAGGGGAAGAGAGAAAGAUGAUUAAUUUAGUAAUAAAAUAAAAUGAUGAAUAAUAAUUAGUAAAGAAGGAUUUUCAGAAAGGAGCUUGUCGUCACAGUCACACUCCACCAUUCACCAAAAAGGGCGAGAGAGAGAGAGAGAGAGAGAGAG